UACGGAGGGGGCAAGCGUUGUUCGGAAUUAUUGGGCGUAAAGCGUAUGUAGGCGGCUAAGUAAGUCAGGCGUGCAAGCCCGUGGCUCAACCACGGAAUUGCGUUUGAAACUGCUUAGCUUGAGUACAGGAGAGGAAAGCGGAAUUCCCAGUGUAGCGGUGAAAUGCAUUGAUAUUGGGAAGAACAUCUGUGGCGAAGGCGGCUUUCUGGUCUGUUACUGACGCUGAGAUACGAAAGCCAGGGGAGCAAAGGGG
rnacentral:rRNA from 1 species